rnacentral:misc_RNA from 1 species
AACGCACAUUGCGCCCUCUGGUAUUCCGGGGGGCAUGCCUGUUCGAGCGUCAUUUCAACUCUCAAGCUUAGCUUGGUAUUGGUGGUUGGCCCCCUGGGGCCUCCCCGAAAUUCAGCGGCGAUGCGACCGGAAUCCCAGCGUAGUGACUUUAUAUCUCGCUGAUUGGAUCCCCGGGCGAUGUUUGCCGGAUAACAAUAUCUUUAUUUACAAGAUUGACCUCGGAUCAGGUAGGGAUACCCGCUGAACUUAA